rnacentral:lncRNA from 1 species
UGACGAGCCAGCCAUAAGGCUUAACACUGAAACCAAAAUUAUAUAGAAAUGUGAAGAAUGGGACCUCUAGUUGAAUGAAGAUUCCUGUAUGUUCAAAUGGAGACCAUCACAGAAAACCACAACUGGACACAAUGCUAGAUCAACAGAUUGUGGUGAGCCCCAAUGGAUACAUCUAUGUCACAGCUCCUGCUUCUGUGAUUCAGGGAGCAUCAUGGAAGAGAGGAUAAAAAUAUUGUAAGAAGCAGAAUAUCAGGAAAUCAGCUAUGAAGUAUUCUCUCCUAGAAAUGGCUCCAUAAAUAAGACUAGAACAAUGGCAGUGUCAAUAGACACGGGAGGGGGAAAGUUCACAGGAUCUCACCCCUAGACAAAGAACUACAGGUAACUAGU